CCUUUGUACACACCGCCCGUCGCUACUACCGAUUGAAUGGCUCAGUGAGGUCUUCGGACUGGCUCAGGGACGUGGGUGACCGCAACCCAGAGCCGGAAAGUUGCCCAAACUCGGUCAUUUAGAGG
rnacentral:rRNA from 1 species